rnacentral:rRNA from 1 species
GGGAACCGUGAGACAGGUGCUGCAUGGCUGUCGUCAGCUCGUGUUGUGAAAUGUUGGGUUAAGUCCCGCAACGAGCGCAACCCUUAUCCUUUGUUGCCAGCGGUCCGGCCGGGAAACUCAAAGGAGACUGCCAGUGAUAAACUGGAGGAAGGUGGGGAUGACGUCAAGUCAUCAUGGCCCUUACGACCAGGGCUACACACGUGCUACAAUGGCGCAUACAAAGAGAAGCGACCUCGCGAGAGCAAGCGGACCUCAUAAAGUGCGUCGUAGUCCGGAUUGGAGUCUGCAACUCGACUCCAUGAAGUCGGAAUCGCUAGUAAUCGUGGAUCAGAAUGCCACGGUGAAUACGUUCCCGGGCCUU